rnacentral:rRNA from 1 species
AGAAGAAGGACCGGCUAACUCCGUGCCAGCAGCCGCGGUAAUACGGAGGGUCCGAGCGUUAAUCGGAAUUACUGGGCGUAAAGCGCGCGUAGGCGGCUUGUUAAGUCGGAUGUGAAAGCCCCGGGCUCAACCUGGGAACUGCAUUCGAUACUGACAAGCUAGAGUACAGCAGAGGGGUGUGGAAUUUCAGGUGUAGCGGUGAAAUGCGUAGAGAUCUGAAGGAACAUCAGUGGCGAAGGCGACACUCUGGGCUGAUACUGACGCUGAGGUGCGAAAGCGUGGGUAGCAAACAGGAUUAGAUACCCUGGUAGUCCACGCCGUAAACGAUGUCUAUUAGCCGCUGGGUCCAAUUAGUGACUUAGUGGCGCAGCUAACGCGAUAAAUAGACCGCCUGGGGAGUACGGUCGCAAGAUUAAAACUCAAAUGAAUUGACGGGGGCCCGCACAAGCGGUGGAGCAUGUGGUUUAAUUCGAAGCAACGCGAAGAACCUUACCUACUCUUGACAUCCAGAGAACUUUCCAGAGAUGGAUUGGUGCCUUCGGGAACUCUGAGACAGGUGCUGCAUGGCUGUCGUCAGCUCGUGUUGUGAAAUGUUGGGUUAAGUCCCGUAACGAGCGCAACCCUUAUCCUUAGUUACCAGCGAGUUAUGUCGGGGACUCUAGGGAAACUGCCGGUGACAAACCGGAGGAAGGUGGGGACGACGUCAAGUCAUCAUGGCCCUUACGAGUAGGGCUACACACGUGCUACAAUGGGAGAUACAGACGGACGCUAAGCCGCGAGGUGGUGCUAAUCCUAAAAAGUGUUUCGUAGUCCGGAUUGGAGUCUGCAACUCGACUCCAUGAAGUCGGAAUCGCUAGUAAUCGUGGAUCAGAAUGCCACGGUGAAUACGUUCCCGGGCCUUGUACACACCGCCCGUCACACCAUGGGAGUUGUUUGCACCAGAAGUAGCUAGCUUAACCUUCGGGAGGGCGGUUACCACGGUGUGGAUAAUGACUGGGGUGAAGUCGUAACAAGGUAGCCGUAGGGGAACCUGCGGCUG